ensembl:snRNA U2 U2 spliceosomal RNA
AUCUCUUCUUGGCCUUUUGGCUAAGAUCAAGUGUAGUAAACAGCUUUGGGAAAUAUGAAAAUUUCAAUAAUAUUAUUAAUGAUUAAUAAUAUUAUUUCAACAUGUGAACACAG